rnacentral:rRNA from 1 species
UUAGCAUGGAAUAAUAGAAUAGGACGCGCGUUCCCAUUUUGUUGGUUUCUGAGAUCGCCGUAAUGAUUAAUAGGGAUAGUUGGGGGCAUUUGUAUUCCGUCGUCAGAGGUGAAAUUCUUGGAUUGCCGGAAGACAAACUACUGCGAAAGCAUUUGCCAAGGAUGUUUUCAUUGAUCAAGAACGAAGGAAGGGGGAUCGAAAACGAUCAGAUACCGUUGUAGUCUCUUCUGUAAACUAUGCCAAUUGGGGAUUAGCACAGGAUUUUUAAUGACUGUGUUAGCACCCGAAGAGAAAUCUUUAAAUGAGGUUCGGGGGGGAGUAUGGUCGCAAGGCUGAAACUUAAAGGAAUUGACGGAAGGGCACCACCAGGUGUGGAGCCUGCGGCUUAAUUUGACUCAACACGGGGAAACUCACCAGGUCCAGACACAAAAAGGAUUGACAGAUUGAUAGCUCUUUCUUGAUCUUGUGGUUGGUGGUGCAUGGCCGUUCUUAGUUGGUGGAGUGAUUUGUCUGGUUAAUUCCGAUAACGAACGAGACCUUAACCUGCUAAAUAGACCCUCCGGCUUUGGCUGGAGGCUGUCUUCUUAGAGGGACUAUCAGCGUUUAGCUGAUGGAAGUUUGAGGCAAUAACAGGUCUGUGAUGCCCUUAGAUGUUCUGGGCCGCACGCGCGCUACACUGACAGAGCCAGCGAGUCUCUACCUUGGCCGGAAGGCCCGGGAAAUCUUGUGAAACUCUGUCGUGAUGGGGAUAGAGCAUUGCAAU